rnacentral:rRNA from 1 species
UGGGGAAUCUUGCACAAUGGGGGCAACCCUGAUGCAGCGACGCCGCGUGAGCGAUGAAGCCCUUCGGGGCGUAAAGCUCUUUCGACCGGAACGAUAAUGACGGUACCGGGAGAAGAAGCUGCGGCUAACUACGUGCCAGCAGCCGCGGUAAUACGUAGGCAGCAAGCGUUGUUCGGAGUUACUGGGCGUAAAGAGUGCGUAGGCGGUUUUCUAAGUUCGGUGUGAAAUCUCCCGGCUUAACUGGGAGGGUGCGCCGAAGACUGGGAAGCUGGAGUGUGGGAAAGGCAGGCGGAAUUCCUGGUGUAGCGGUGAAAUGCGUAGAUAUCAGGAGUAACACCGGCGGUGUAGACGGCUUGCUAGACCAUAACUGACGCUGAGGCACGAAAGCGUGGGUAGCAAACA